UCAUCAGUAUGGUGUAAUCCUUACCUGUGGAUGACUAAUGUCAUCCUCAGUAAGGUAUGUGAUGACAUGGAGCUGAAUGAUCUAUAUGAUUAUACGCUCUGGGCCUAAAGGUCUACAACACCCUUUAUGGUCUAAGUCUGAU